GUAGUACUCCCUCUGUCUGAAAUUACUUGUCACAAAAAUGAAUAAAAAUAGAUGUAUUUAGAACAAAAAUAGGUGUCUGUCUAGAUACAUUCAUUUCUCUAACAAGUAUUUCCUCUGACAAGUAUUUCCGGACGGAGGGAGUAUUUA
rfam:Triticum aestivum genome assembly, contig: Triticum_aestivum_CS42_TGACv1_scaffold_159371_2DL